rnacentral:rRNA from 1 species
GAGAGACUACAGGAUUCCCCUAGUAACGGCGAGUGAAGCGGGAACAGCUCAAAUUUGAAAUCUCCUUCGGGCGAAUUGUAGUUUAGAGAAGCGUUUUCUGUUGGCGGGUAGGUACAAGUUCAUUGGAACAUGACAUCAUAGAGGGUGAAAAUCCCGUCUUUGACCUAUCUUAAGACUUUGUGAUACGUUUUCCAAGAGUCGGUUUGUUUGGGAAUGCAGACCAAAAUGGGAGGUAAAUACCUUCUAAAGCUAAAUAUUGGCGAGAGACCGAUAGCGAACAAGUACCGUGAGGGAAAGAUGAAAAGAACUUUGAAAAGAGAGUUAAACAGUACGUGAAAUUGUCAAAAGGGAAACGUUUGAAACCAGUAUUGCUGGCGAGAAUUCAGCUACUAUUUAUAGUGGUGUACUUUCUCGUUAGCGAGUCAACAUCAGUUUGAUUCGGAGCAAAAAGCCAAAGGAAGGUAGCCUCUCGGGGUGUUAUAGCCUUUGGUCAUACUCUGGGUUGGACUGAGGACUGCAGCAUUUUUGCCUUCGGGACACCAAUGCUUAGGAUGUUGACGAAAUGGUUUUAAGCGACCCGUCUUGAAACACGGACCAAGGAGUCUAACAUAUAUGCGAGUAUUUGGGUGGUAAACCCUUGUGCGUAAUGAAAGUGAAAAGGUCGGAUCCUUAAGGGUGCACGAUCGACCGCGCCAGAUUAUUACUAUCUCGGCGUGAGUAUGAGCAUACAUGCUGGGACCCGAAAGAUGGUGAACUAUGCCUGAAUAGGGUGAAGCCAGAGGAAACUCUGGUGGAGGCUCGUAGCGGUUCUGACGUGCAAAUCGAUCGUCAAAUUUGGGUAUAGGGGCGAAAGACNAUCAACCUCU